UUUUUUUUCUUUUUUGUGGCAACAGAACUUGUAUUACUCAAUUACAAUGUCCUUACAAUCACCUUGAGCUAGUUCCAAAACCUCUACUAGACCAGACCCUAGCCAAGAAGAUGCUCUUAUCAAACAAAAAGUUAUUGUAAUUUAAUCAGCUACGGAACAUAAUCGUUGAUCAGUUCCGCCGACCUAGAAGCUAGAGCAGCACGCACGUUUCGUACACGAACUAGCUCACGAUGAUGCAACUCGAAAGAACGCAAGCAGAGCAGAAUGCAUACGUGUCAAGUCUUCAACCUCGUAAUAAUAAUAAAAUUAGGGAGUGACUAAUCAUCAGACGUCUGUUUUUCAAUUUGCUUCAGGCUGUUUUUUAUUCCAAUGGAGGGUUGACACACGUCUUGCAGUGACUACUCAGUCUAAAAUGUUAGUAACAAAAAAACAUCUGUUUUCUCGCUGGGUUCAGGUCGAAAACUAUGCGCCAGCCUCUUUGGCCCUUCUGAUGGUUUGCGCAUCAUCCUUCCUUUCCCCUAAUCGGGCCGCCUGGCCAACCCGUUAACACACAAAAACGCUGGGGUAGCCCUCGAUCUUAUCCAGAUUGGGGCGACUUGGAGCCGUAGCUUACUGCCCUGGCUCUAACUAAACCCCAGCUGCAUACUUUCCCACACUAAAAUAUUCCCCAUACUACAAUUUUCCCAUGUUGUGAAUAAAAACUGAAUUCAGAGAAAUAUCCUGCUGCUGUGUACAUAUUUUACCUAGAAAAAAUGUACUGUCUAAGACUACAAAACAAAAACUGAAAAAAAAGAACUUGACCAUACAUUUGCCGUAAGGAAGAAUUAGAUACCUCAAAAAUAAGACUAAAGAAGAAACAUCUUGUCGUUCCCCUAUAGGAAAAUGUAGAAAAAAAGUCAAAAAUUAGGAUGAAGAAACAACUCUGAAGACUGAUGCUACUUGUGCUGAAGACUGAUGAAAACGCAUAUAAAACCUGACAGUACCUUCAAUAAAAAACAAUGAUGGGAACAGAGAUCUUGCCAGAAUAGCAUACGACAACAAUGAUAUUCGAAAAGUUGUUUCUUAAACUCCGCCCUCGUAAAACAACCACUCCUUGGCUGCUACAGCUGCUGGAAGCGACACAGGUGUCAGUACGCUUAUUAGCGUAGACCCACAAAAAAUGAUCUUCCUCCGAGAGUUGUAUCUUUGAGCGUCAAAAGCAUGUAUCUGUUGUGAUGGGAUUCGACACCACUGACGCCCCAUUUGGUCCAUUUCCAGCGUGUAUCUGAUCUGUAAAAAAUGAAGUGAAGCAAUAAAUAUGAAGGCCAAAUUAGUAAGAUGACAAAAUGCAGAUAAACUGAAAACUGUAUGAACAAACUUGCUAACCUACCUGGGAUUUCUUGACAAACUAAGCAACUAGGAUGGACGGCUUUAUUCGAGAAGAUCGAACAAGGACUGAAGUAGCUGAAGGUCUGAAUACUCAUAAAUAAGAAAACAAUCUAGAUAAGCAGAACAAAUUUUUCGUGGUUGUAGCCUGUGGUGGACUUAGGUCUGAAACAAUGAAUACUAAAUUAAGACUGAACAGUGAAUACUAACUAACCUACCUAUGUGGUAACACACAAAACUGAACAAAAUGACACCUAACACUGAAACUAAUAACAUAACUAAAAAUGACACUAACCCCUGAGAGUACUUAAAAUGACACUAGUGUGGGAGAACUUGUUGAGUAAGUGUGGGACAACUUUGGCUCGGAGAUGUGAAAUAUAACAUACAGGUACAAAAAUAAAGGUAAGAAAAUGAUCAGGACUCAUUGGAAAAUGACAGGGUGAGUAAGCACUAGGGACUCAGACUGAUUGACUAAAAACUGAUAGACUAAAAAAGGAAAUGAAUGCAACAAGUAAUGACUAAAUGAGAAAAAGAAAUCGAAGAAAAAGCUAAAGUUUAUAUAAUUCUAUCAGCUAAAAGGACUAAGUUUGUAUCUGAAGUAGGAAAAAACUGAAUUCAUACACAAACUAAAGAAGAAAUGAAAUGUUUAACUGAACAGGACAACUAUCAUGUUAUCAUAAAACAUACAUGGAGGUGUUGGUAAUAUCCACAUCAUAGCCUUGUAAAAAUGAGUGAUGAAUGAAAAAUGAAACAUAACAAGAACUAGAUUGUAGUGAUAAUUGAAUAGCUGACCAUGACAGUGAACUAGACUAUAGUGAUAAAGAAAAAUUUGAAACAGAACUAUAGUGAUAAAUUGAACAUAUUCAAAACUAAGUUACCACUCAGCUUUCAAAAUCCUUAGACAACCAAACCCCAAAAUUUAGACGCGAUGAGCGACGGUCAGCGCAGUCGGACCUGCAGAUUGGGUACGCCAUCCCCGUUACAUAUGUAGCAGAGAAAAAAACUAUUUGUUAGCAAAAAGAUGACUGAAAAACUAAGAACAGAGACUCACCAGAUAACUAAUUUAAACUACAGGAAUUAUAAACACAUAUCAAGUCUAACAAAUUUAAAAUGAAUGCUGAAAAUACAGGAAUAACAUCAUAAACUGAAAAUAAUAAGCUGAAUGGAAACUAACUAGUUAGAAUAAUAAAUGACUUAACUUAAAACUGAUAGACUAGAACAAACACUGACCAAAUAACUGAAGAGAACUAAAAUGAGACACUUAAGAUACUAAACAAACACCGACCAAAUAACUAAUCACUUAAUAUAUAGUUGAAGAUAACUAAAACUGAUACUUUAGAGUACUGAUGACUAAAAACUGAAAAUAAUCUAGCAAAAAAACCAGUGCAAAAAACUGAAAACCGAAAACUAAAAACAUAGGACUUACAGGAACAUAAGGUUCAAAACAGAAAUAAUCAUCUACUAAAAGACAAGACUCAUGAGAGAUAGGAGUGAAGAAAGAUGCAAAUGAUAACUAAAUAUGAUAAAAAUGAGGACUGAUACUAUUACCAAAACUAACAUAAGACUGAGAAGGCAAGCUUACAAACUGAGGAACAAAAACACCAAUGGUUGGAACAAAAUUAUAGAAAGGUACUGAAAACGGAAGACUAGACUACAAAAACACUGAAAACAAAGAUUCUAAUGACACAGAAAACUGAAGAACUAGAGAUAGAGAGAAAAGAUGGCUGAAUAAACAAGACAAAAAAGGUGGUUGAAUAGUAAGGUGACUCAAGAAACACUGAAAAGUGAAGGAUUGAAGACAGAGAAAAGAAAUCUGAAUAAAUAAACAAUUACUAAAGACUGAAGAAAGAUGACUGAAAAUAUAUAUGAAAUAGUUACUGAUGACAGGAUGAAGAAGAGAUGUAAUGGGCAAGGUAUGCAAACAGAGGAAUGAAGCAAUUCCAACAGGACAAUAGGGACCCUGACCACUAUAUGGCGCAGAGUGGAGGUGACAGUUUGACUGUCGAGCUAUUGAAUCCUACUAUAGCCUGACAAUUUGUCUAACCUCCCUGAUUGGAUAAGUGAUUUUCAGGCAUUGUAGUUAAAAAAAUAUGAAGUGAAGUUUGCAGCAGUUGAAAUUCAUUUUAAACGAUAGCCAUUGCCAGAAGAACUAAACAAAAAAGUAGGCCCUUUCGCCUUUGAGACACAUCGAUCUUUCACAACUGGCGCGCAACCUAGCCGACCCGUCUCCUGGUAGAUGUUGAUUUCUUCGCGUGUGUUCAAAGAAACUAAUUUAGGGGUGCUCUGGUUUUUUUACUGUUAGGCUGACCCCUGAAAAAAUUGACUUCGAACACACCUUAAUUGGAGGCACUGCAAUGAAAGAAAAAUCGUUGUCUACUGAAAAAUGAACACCCAUGAACCUGCACUACAGCAAAAAAGAAACCUACACCGAAAAGCAACCAGUGUUCAUGCAGGAAAAAGGCCUAAACCUACAAAAAGCAUACUGAAAAAUUAUAAUAGCCAAUACAUAACAGGUAACGGGAAAAAUUCAGAUCUGUCUGUUUUAGCGUGAAUAAAUCACGCCAUAAAAUAACCGUGAGCUUGCUCACGAAAAUCGGGCGUGAGAAGCAAAACCAUCUCCAUAAUGAAGGAAAUAUUUAAGCUGAAUAAUGUACAGAACAUGGUAAAAAAAACUGAAUAAUCUAGUACCAAAAGCUAGCUCUCAUUCACUAAACUGAAAAAUGAUAAGUACAGAAAAUAUAGAUUGUGCAUGUAACAUGUUUUCAUCAUGGAAGAUGCUACCGAAGAAAAUAGGAUUCAGAACAUUUCUUCGUCCAUGCUUACAUCAACAGAAAGCAGACGAAAAUGCCGCCUGAACCAUUACUGAACAUUGCAUAGACCCUCCCACAAAAAAAUAAAAUCACCAGCAAAUGCCUAAAAAACUCAAAUACCUACUUCCACACAUGCAACACCUGUGCAGUUUUUAAAAGAUGCAGAGGAGCCGAACCGCAGAUCUACAUCCAACACUUCGUAGUCAACUUAGGGCAUCUUCAAUGGUUGUAAGAUAGUUGUUGGUAGAUUUUGCCACAUAUGAUUUUUGAUGAUGUGUCAUACAAUAAAUGAGGGAAGAGAGAAAUAUUGUAUGUGUUGGGGAACGUUGCAGAAAACAAAAAUUUUCCUACUCGUUUCACCAAGAUCAUCUAGGAGUUCAUCUAGCAACGAGUCAUUGGAUGCAUCUACGUACCUUGUAGAUCGCGAGCGGAAGCGUUCAAAGAACGGGGAUGAUGUAGUCGAACACGACGUGAUCCAAAUCACCGAUGACCAGUGCCGAACGGACGGCACCUCCGCGUUCAACACACGUACGGAACAGCCACGUCUCCUCCUUCUUGAUCCAGCAAGGGAGGGAGGAGAGGUUGAGGGAGAUGGCACCAGCAGCAGCACGACGGCGUGGUGUUGAUGGAGCUGCAGUACUCCGGCAGAGCUUCGCUAAGCACUAUGGAGGUGGAGGAGGUGUUGGGGAGGGAGAAGGAGGCAACCAAAGGCCAGGGCGUUCAGGUAUGAAGUCCCUCCUCUCCCCCACUAUAUAUAGGGGUGCCAAGGGGGGGUGGCCGGCCCUAGGAGAUCCAAUCUCCUAGGGGGUGCGGCGGCCAAGGGGGGUUUUCCCUCCCCCCAAGGCACCUAGGAGGUGCCUUACCCUCCUAGGACUCUUGCCCCCUUAAACCCUAGGCGCAUGGGCCUAUGUGGGGCUGGUGCCCUUGGCCCAUUAGGCCAAGGCGCACCCCCUUACAGCCCAUGUGGCCCCCCGGGGCAGGUGGACCCACCCGGUGGACCCCCGGGACCCUUCCGGUGGUCCCGGUACAAUACCGAUAACCCCGAAACUUGUCCCGAUGCCCGAAACAGGACUUCCCAUAUAUAAAUCUUUACCUCCGGACCAUUCCGGAACUCCUCGUGACGUCCGGGAUCUCAUCCGGGACUCCGAACAACAUUCGGGUUACUGCAUAUACAUAUCCCUACAACCCUAGCGUAACUGAACCUUAAGUGUGUAGACCCUACGGGUUCGGGAGACAAGCAGACAUGACCGAGACGACUCUCCGGUCAAUAACCAACAGCGGGAUCUGGAUACCCAUGUUGGCUCCCGCAUGCUCCACGAUGAUCUCAUCGGAUGAACCACAAUGUCGAGGAUUCAAUCAAUCCCGUACGCUAUUCCCUUUGUCUAUCGAUAUGUUACUUGCCCGAGAUUCGAUCGUCGGUAUCCCAAUACCUCGUUCAAUCUCGUUACCGGCAAGUCACUUUACUCGUACCGUAAUGCAUGAUCCCGUGACCAGACACUUGGUCACUCUGAGCUCAUUAUGAUGAUGCAUUACCGAGUGGGCCCAGUGAUACCUCUCCGUCAUACGGAGUGACAAAUCCCAGUCUUGAUCCAUGUCACCCAACAGACACUUUCGGAGAUACCCGUAGUCUACCUUUAUGGUCACCCAGUUACGUUGUGACGUUUGGCAUACCCAAAGCACUCCUACGGUAUCCGGGAGUUACACGAUCUCAUGGUCUAAGGAAAAGAUACUUUGACAUUGCAAAACUCUAGCAAACAAACUAUACGAUCUUGUGCUAUGUUUAGGAUUGGGUCUUGUCCAUCACAUCAUUCUCCAAUGAUGUGAUCUCGUUAUCAAUGACAUCCAGUGUCCAUAGUCAGGAAACCAUGACUAUCUAUUGAUCAACGAGCUAGUCAACUAGAGGCUCACUAGGGACAGGUUGGUGUCUGUUAUUCACACAUGUAUUACGAUUUCCGGAUAACACAAUUAUAGCAUGAAUAAAGACAAUUAUCAUGAACAAGGAAAUAUAAUAAUAAUGCUUUUAUUAUUGCCUCUAGGGCAUAUUUCCAACAGUCUCCCACUUGCACUAGAGUCAAUAAUCUAGUUACAUUGUGAUGAAUCGAACACCCAUGGAAUCCUGGUGUUGAUCAUGUUUUGCUCUAGGGAGAGGUUUAGUCAACGGAUCUGCUAUAUUCAGGUCCGUAUGUACUUUACAAAUCUCUAUGUCUCCAUCUUGAACAUUUUCACGAAUGGAGUUGAAGCGACGCUUGAUGUGCCUUGUCUUCUUGUGAAACCUGGGCUCCUUGGCAAGUGCAAUAGCUCCAGUGUUGUCACAGAAGAGCUUGAUCAGCCCCGACGCAUUGGGUAUGACUCCUAGGUCGGUGAUGAACUCCUUCACCCAUAUUGCUUCAUGUGCUGCCUCCGAGGCUGCCAUGUACUCCGCUUCACACGUAGAUCCCGCCACGACGCUUUGCUUGCAACUGCACCAGCUUACUGCCCCACCAUUCAAAAUAUACACGUAUCCGGUUUGUGACUUAGAGUCAUCCAGAUCUGUGUCGAAGCUAGCAUCGACGUAACCCUUUAUGACGAGCUCUUCGUCACCUCCAUAAACGAGAAACAUUUCAUUAGUCCUUUUCAGGUACUUCAGGAUAUUCUUGACCGCUGUCCAGUGUUCCUUGCCGGGAUUACUUUGGUACCUUCCUACCAAACUGACGGCAAGGUUAACAUCAGGUCUGGUACACAGCAUGGCAUACAUAAUAGAACCUAUGGCUGAGGCAUAGGGGAUGACGCUCAUCUCUUCUAUAUCUUCUGCCGUGGUCGGACAUUAAGCUGAGCUCAAUUUCAUACCUUGUAACACAGGCAAGAACCCUUUCUUGGAUUGAUCCAUAUUGAACUUCUUCAAUAUCUUAUCAAGGUAUGUGCUUUGUGAAAGACCUAUGAGGCGUCUCGAUCUAUCUCUAUAGAUUUUGAUGCCUAAUAUAUAAGCAGCUUCUCCAAGGUCCUUCAUUGAAAAACUUUUAUUCAAGUAGGCCUUGAUGCUGUCCAAGAGUUCUAUAUCAUUUCCCAUCAAAAGUAUGUCAUCUACAUAUAAUAUGAGAAAUGCUACAGAGCUCCCACUCACUUUCUUGUAAACGCAGGCUUCUCCAUAAGUCUGUGUAAACCCAAACGCUUUGAUCAUCUCAUCAAAGCGAAUGUUCCAACUCCGAGAUGCUUGCACCCGCCCAUAAAUCGAGCGUUGGAGCUUGCACACUUUGUCAGCAUUUUUAGGAUCGACAAAACCUUCCGGCUGCAUCAUAUACAAUUCUUCCUUAAGGAAACCAUUAAGGAAUGCCGUUUUGACGUCCAUCUGCCAUAUUUCGUAAUCAUAGAAUGCGGCAAUUGCUAACAUGAUUCGGACGGACUUCAGCUUCGCUACCGGUGAGAAAGUCUCAUCGUAGUCAACCCCUUGAACUUGUCGAUAACCCUUAGCGACAAGCCGAGCUUUAUAGAUGGUCACAUUACCAUCCGCGUCUGUCUUCCUCUUAAAGAUCCAUUUAUUUUCUAUGGCUCGCCGCUCAACGGGCAAGUCAGUCAAAGUCCAUACUUUGUUUUCAUACAUGGAUCCUAUCUCGGAUUUCAUGGCUUCUAGCCAUUUGUCGGAAUCCGGUCCCGCCAUCGCUUCUUCAUAGUUCGAAGGUUCACCGUUGUCUAACAACAUGAUUUCCAAGACAGGGUUGCCGUACCACUCUGGUGCGGAACGUGUCCUUGUGGACCUUCGAAUUUCAGUAGGGGCUUGAUCAGAAGUAUCUUGAUCAUUAUCAUUAAAUUCCUCUCUAGUCGGUGCUGGCACCUCAGAAACAUUUUCUUGAGUUGCGCCAUUUUCCGGUUCAAGAGGUAAUACUUCAUCAAGCUCUACUUUCCUCCCACUUACUUCUUUCGAGAGAAACUCUUUCUCCAGAAAGGACCCAUUCUUGGCAACAAAGAUCUUGCCUUCGGAUCUGAGGUAGAAGGUGUACCCAAUAGUUUCUUUUGGGUACCCUAUGAAGACGCAUUUUUCCGAUUUGGGUUCGAGCUUUUCAGGUUGAAGUUUCUUGACAUAAGCAUCGCAUCCCCAAACUUUUAGAAACGAGAGCUUAGGUUUCUUCCCAAACCAUAAUUCAUACGGUGUCGUCUCAACGGAUUUCGACGGAGCCCUAUUUAAAGUGAAUGCGGCAGUCUCUAAAGCAUAGCCCCAAAAAGAAAGCGGUAAAUCGGUAAGAGACAUCAUAGAUCGCACCAUAUCUAACAGAGUGUGAUUACGACGUUCGGACACACCAUUACGCUGAGGUGUUCCAGGCGGCGUGAGUUGUGAAACUAUUCCACAUUUUCUUAAGUGCGUGCCAAACUCGUGACUCAAGUAUUCUCCUCCACGAUCUGAUCGUAGAAACUUGAUUUUCCUGUCACAUUGAUUUUCAACCUCACUCUGAAAUUCCUUGAACUUUUCAAAGGUUUCAGACUUGUGUUUCAUUAAGUAGAUAUACCCAUACCUACUUAAAUCAUCCGUGAGGGUGAGAACAUAACGAUAGCCACCACGAGCCUCAACACUCAUUGGACCGCACACAUCAGUAUGUAUGAUUUCCAAUAAGUCGGUUGCUCGCUCCAUUGUUCCUGAGAACGGAGUCUUGGUCAUUUUACCCAUAAGGCAUGGUUCGCACGUGUCAAAUGAUUCAUAAUCAAGAGACUCUAAAAGUCCAUCAGCAUGGAGCUUCUUCAUGCGUUUGACACCUAUGUGACCAAGGCGGCAGUGCCACAAGUAUGUGGGACUAUCAUUAUCAACCUUACUUCUUUUGGUACUCACAUUAUGAAUAUGUGUAGCAUCACGUUCGAGAUUCAUAAAGAAUAAACCAUUCACCAUAGGAGCAUGACCAUAAAACAUAUCUCUCAUAAAAAUGGAACAACCAUUAUUCUCAGAUUUAAAAGAGUAGCCAUCUCGAAUUAAACGAGAUCCCGAUACAAUGUUCAUGCUCAAAGCUGGCACUAAAUAACAAUUAUUAAGGUUUAAAACUAAUCCCGAAGGGAGAUGCAGAGGUAGCGUGCCGACGGCGAUCACAUUGACCUUGGAACCAUUCCCGACGCGCAUCGUCACCUCGUCCUUUGCUAGUUUCCGCUUAUUCCGCAGCCCCUGCUUUGAGUUACAAAUGUGAGCAACUGCACCGGUAUCAAAUACCCAGGAGCUACUAUGGGCACUAGUAAGGUACACAUCAAUUACAUGUAUAUCACAUAUACCUUUUGUUUUGCCGGCCUUCUUAUCCGCUAAGUACUUAGGGCAGUUCCGCUUCCAGUGACCGCUUCCCUUGCAAUAAAAGCACUCAGUCUCGGGCUUGGGUCCAUUCUUUGGCUUCUUCCCGGCAGCUUGCUUGCCGGGCGCGGCAACCUCCUUGCCAUCCUUCUUGAAGUUCUUUUUACCCUUGCCUUUCUUGAACUUAGUGGUUUUAUUGAUCAUCAACACUUGAUGUUCCUUCCUGACUUCUACCUCUGCUGAUUUCAGCAUAGCAAAUACUUCAGGAAUGGUCUUUUCCAUCCCCUGCAUAUUGAAGUUCAUCACAAAGCUCUUGUAGCUUGGUGGAAGCGACUGGAGGAUUCUGUCAAUGACCGCAUCAUCCGGGAGAUUAACUCCCAGCUGAGUUAAGCGGUUAUGCAACCCAGACAUAGUGAGUAUGUGCUCACUGACAGAACUGUUUUCCUCCAUCUUACAGCUGAAGAAUUUGUCGGAGACUUCAUAUCUCUCGACCCGGGCAUGAGCUUGGAAAACCAUUUUCAGCUCUUCGAACAUCUCAUAUGCUCCAUGUCUCUCAAAACGCUUUUGGAGCCCCGGCUCUAGGCUGUAAAGCAUGCCGCACUGAACGAGGGAGUAGUCAUCGGAACGUGCCUGCCAAGCGUUCAUAACGUCUUGUUCUGCAGGGAGAACGGGUGCGUCACCAAGCGGUGCUUGUAGGACAUAAUCUUUCUUGGCAGCUAUGAGGAUGAUCCUCAGGUUCCGGACCCAGUCCGUAUAGUUGCUGCCAUCGUCUUUCAGCUUAGUUUUCUCUAGGAACGCGUUGAAGUUGAGGACUACGUUGGCCAUUUGAUCUACAAGACAUAUUGUAAAAUAUUUAGACUAAGUUCAUGAUAAUUAAGUUCUACUAAUCAAAUUAUUAGUGAACUCCCACUUAGAUUAGACAUCCCUCUAGUCAUCUAAGUAUUACAUGAUCCGAGUUAAACUAGACCGUGUCCGAUCAUCACGUGAGACGGACUAGUCAACGUCGGUGAACAUCUUCAUGUUGAUCGUAUCUUCUAUACGACUCAUGCUCGACCUUUCGGUCUUCUGUGUUCCGAGGCCAUGUCUGUACAUGCUAGGCUCGUCAAGUCAACCUAAGUGUUUGCAUGUGUAAAUCUGUCUUACACCCGUUGUAUGUGAACGUCUGAAUAAAACACCCGAUCAUCACGUGAUGUUUUGAAACAGCGAACUGUCGCAACGGUGCACAGUUAGGGGGAACACUUCUUGAAAUUAGUAUGAGGGAUCAUCUUAUUUACUACCGUCGUUCUAAGUAAACAAGAUGCAAAACAUGAUAAACAUCACAUGCAAUCAAAUAAUAAACGUGACAUGAUAUGGCCAAUAUCACAUAGCUCCUUUGAUCUCCAUCUUGGGGCUCCAUGAUCAUCUUGUCACCGGCUUGACACCAUGAUCUCCAUCAUCAUGAUCUCCAUCAUCGUGUCGCCAUGAAGUUGCUCGCCAACUAUUACUUCUACUACUAUGGCUAAUGCGUUUAGCAAUAAAGUAAAGUAAUUUACAUGGCGUUUCUUGAUGACACGCAGGUCAUAUAAAAGAAUAAAGACAACUCCUAUGGCUCCUGCCGGUUGUCAUACUCAUCGACAUGCAAGUCGUGAAUCCUAUUACAAUAGCAUGAACAUCUCAUACAUCACAUAUAGAUCAUUCAUCAUUCAUCACAACUUUGGCCAUAUCAUAUCACAAACCACUUGCUGCAAAAACAAGUUAGACGUCCUCUAAUUGUUGUUGCAAGUUUUACGUGGCUGAAUUAGGGUUCUAGCAAGAACGUUUUCUUACCUACGUUAAAGCCACAACGUGAUUUGUCAACUUCUAUUUACCCUUCAUAAGGACCCUGUUCAUCGAUUCCGCUCCAACUAAAGUAGGAGAGACAGACACCCGCCAGCCACCUUAUGCAACUAGUGCAUGUUAGUCGGUGGAACCGGUCUCACGUAAGCGUACGUGAAAGGUUGGUCCGGGCCGCUUCAUCCCACAAUACCGCUGAAGCAAGAAAGGACUAGUAACGGCAAGAAAGUUGACAAAUCUACGCCCACAACAAAUUGUGUUCUACUCGCGCAAGAAGAACUACGCAUAGACCUAGCUCAUGAUGCCACUGUUGGGGAACGUUGCAGAAAACAAAAAUUUUCCUACUCGUUUCACCAAGAUCAUCUAGGAGUUCAUCUAGCAACGAGUCAUUGGAUGCAUCUACGUACCUUGUAGAUCGCGAGCGGAAGCGUUCAAAGAACGGGGAUGAUGUAGUCGAACACGACGUGAUCCAAAUCACCGAUGACCAGUGCCAAACGGACGGCACCUCCGCGUUCAACACACGUACGGAACAGCCACGUCUCCUCCUUCUUGAUCCAACAAGGGAGGGAGGAGAGGUUGAGGGAGAUGGCACCAGCAGCAGCACGACGGCGUGGUGUUGAUGGAGCUGCAGUACUCCGGCAGAGCUUCGCUAAGCACUAUGGAGGUGGAGGAGGUGUUGGGGAGGGAGAAGGAGGCAACCAAAGGCCAGGGCGUUCAGGUAUGAAGUCCCUCCUCUCCCCCACUAUAUAUAGGGGUGCCAAGGGGGGGUGGCCGGCCCUAGGAGAUCCAAUCUCCUAGGGGGUGCGGCGGCCAAGGGGGGUUUUCCCUCCCCCCAAGGCACCUAGGAGGUGCCUUACCCUCCUAGGACUCUUGCCCCCUUAAACCCUAGGCGCAUGGGCCUAUGUGGGGCUGGUGCCCUUGGCCCAUUAGGCCAAGGCGCACCCCCUUACAGCCCAUGUGGCCCCCCGGGGCAGGUGGACCCACCCGGUGGACCCCCGGGACCCUUCCGGUGGUCCCGGUACAAUACCGAUAACCCCGAAACUUGUCCCGAUGCCCGAAACAGGACUUCCCAUAUAUAAAUCUUUACCUCCGGACCAUUCCGGAACUCCUCGUGACGUCCGGGAUCUCAUCCGGGACUCCGAACAACAUUCGGGUUACUGCAUAUACAUAUCCCUACAACCCUAGCGUAACUGAACCUUAAGUGUGUAGACCCUACGGGUUCGGGAGACAAGCAGACAUGACCGAGACGACUCUCCGGUCAAUAACCAACAGCGGGAUCUGGAUACCCAUGUUGGCUCCCGCAUGCUCCACGAUGAUCUCAUCGGAUGAACCACGAUGUCGAGGAUUCAAUCAAUCCCGUACGCUAUUCCCUUUGUCUAUCGAUAUGUUACUUGCCCGAGAUUCGAUCGUCGGUAUCCCAAUACCUCGUUCAAUCUCGUUACCGGCAAGUCACUUUACUCGUACCGUAAUGCAUGAUCCCGUGACCAGACACUUGGUCACUCUGAGCUCAUUAUGAUGAUGCAUUACCGAGUGGGCCCAGUGAUACCUCUCCGUCAUACGGAGUGACAAAUCCCAGUCUUGAUCCAUGUCACCCAACAGACACUUUCGGAGAUACCCGUAGUCUACCUUUAUGGUCACCCAGUUACGUUGUGACGUUUGGCAUACCCAAAGCACUCCUACGGUAUCCGGGAGUUACACGAUCUCAUGGUCUAAGGAAAAGAUACUUUGACAUUGCAAAACUCUAGCAAACGAACUAUACGAUCUUGUGCUAUGUUUAGGAUUGGGUCUUGUCCAUCACAUCAUUCUCCAAUGAUGUGAUCUCGUUAUCAAUGACAUCCAGUGUCCAUAGUCAGGAAACCAUGACUAUCUAUUGAUCAACGAGCUAGUCAACUAGAGGCUCACUAGGGACAGGUUGGUGUCUGAUAUUCACACAUGUAUUACGAUUUCCGGAUAACACAAUUAUAGCAUGAAUAAAGACAAUUAUCAUGAACAAGGAAAUAUAAUAAUAAUGCUUUUAUUAUUGCCUCUAGGGCAUAUUUCCAACAGUAUGUACAUGAACCAACACCCUUUGCACAAGCUCCAAUGUAGAAUGAGAGAGCACCUUAUUUGUUAUUUCACAUCCUAUUGGGCAAACUACAUACAACCCAUUAGAGUUGUUGUAUAUUAAAGUGUUGGUUGAUGACAUGGAAUAUUUUAUCAAUAAACUAACAUACAAACUGUUGAAGAUGCCCUUAGUGGAAUGUUUUGUUUAGUGGUGAAAUUGACACUCAAUACUUCUUUGAACCGGAGAUCUAGAUCUAGAGAAACAACGAGCCGGACUUGGCGAUGAAAUUUGGGGAUUGACUGACACACACGCAUAGGUGGCUGCAAAAUAUUUAGGAUCGUUUCUCAUGAACCACUCAAAAUCGCAAAUGUGAACUAAGCUAUCGCAAAACGUUCCUACCCAAAAACCAGCUAAUUGAACAACCCCUGCGACAUGGCUCUAUGCCCGGCGACCACGACGAUGAACUGAAUCAAACACAGAAAGAGGCAGAUCAGAUAGAACAAACAAAAAAUUGGACAAACCUAGGACAACAGGGAGACGGAAGUAUACCUUGCGCCCCACCGACGCCGGCAAAUACUACCUCCCCCAGCAUGGGUGCUUGUUGGCGGCGAGCAUGACGGGGAGCUCCGCUGAGUUCCUCUCCAGCCCGCGGCCAUCUCUGUGACGCAUGCCUCCAGCAAUCAAGGCCCACGCUCCAUCUCCGCUUGGCCGACCAACCGCUAAUCACCGGUGAGGAGGCCCCUUCCCUCCGCUGUCUCCGCCCGCCUCGGCCAACCCCUUCCAAUCCCCUCCCCGGCUAGGACAAAGG
rnacentral:lncRNA from 1 species